rnacentral:rRNA from 1 species
UACGUAGGGUGCAAGCGUUGUCCGGAAUUAUUGGGCGUAAAGAGCUCGUAGGCGGUUUGUCGCGUCUGCUGUGAAAACCCAGGGCUUAACCCUGGGCCUGCAGUGGGUACGGGCAGACUAGAGUGCGGUAGGGGAGAUCGGAAUUCCUGGUGUAGCGGUGAAAUGCGCAGAUAUCAGGAGGAACACCAAUGGCGAAGGCAGCUCGCUGGGACGGUAUUGACGCUGAGACGCGAAAGCGUGGGGAGCAAACAGG